AUGGCGUCGUCAUGGUCCGAACUCCCACAUGAGCUCUUGGGACUCCUCAUCGCCCGCCUCCCGUUCCCCAACGACCGCGCUCGCUUCCGGGCGGUGUGCCGCUCGUGGCGCUCGGCUCUGCGCUACCACGGUCACCAGGCACGGCAGCUAAUUGUUCGACCAGGAGGCAGCUUCAUGACUCCGUCCGACGGCCGCUCAUAUCCCCUGCCUUCCUUUCCAGACAACACAAUCUGCAUCGGCUCCACCGACGACUGGAUUGCCCUUCGCCACCACGACCACCCUGACGGACGCAACUUCCUCUUACACAAUCCUUUCACGAACACAAGCGUUCCGCUUGAACUCGACGCGGUCAUCGCCAAGGCUACCAAAGUCCGCAAGGUGCUUGUGUGGUCUACCGCGGCUGGUGACCUGAUCGUGGCCGUCCUAACGAACAAUACAAGACGUCCGUUCAUCUUGAGUCGUGGAGGCAAGGACGUCUGGUUGCCCGGGUCGUGGGACCUUCUUUAUAACUUUAUCGUCGACAUCGCCUUCGUGGGAGACAAACUCUACGCGAUCACCCAGGACGAGAACCUCUUUCCGAUUGAUAUAGCAAUGGAUGGUGACGGUAAGCUCAUGGUUGCCGAUGGCAGGCGCGUCGUGAGGCAACCAAGAAGUCAUUAUGGCUAUAAUGCAUGGAGCGAGUCCGAGUCCGAGUCCGAGUUCGAGGAGGAGGAGGAGGAGGCAACUGAGACAUUCAAUGUUGGGGUAGCUGGAACUUCAGAUGAGGAGGCGGUGCGAGCAUCAAAGGAGAAGACGGUGGGGGCAUUCGAUGAGUAUGAUGGUGAAACACUAGAUGAAGAGGCAUCACGGACAACAGACAAAGAUGCAACCGUGCCAUUAGAUGACUUCGAUAAUCAGGAGGUAGUCGAAACAUUAGACGAGGAGGCAACAAAGAUAUCAAAUGAGGAUGAAAAGGUGGUAGGGGGAACAUCAAACGUGGAGCUAACAUGGCCAUUAAACGAUGAUCUUGACGAAGAAUGGGACGUGACAUCAUCAGAAACCAUGAAUGUCGCAUACGAGGAGGAGGGUGAGGAGGAUAUUGAACCAUGGGUAAGGGAUGAGAAUUCUUUAAACGAUGGUUUUGACUAUGUGUACGAUGAUGCGCUCUCCAAGGCUCUUACCAGCAUUUUCCGCUACCUUGUGGAGUCUUGCGGAAAAUUGCUCAUGGUGAAACACUAUAUGCAAUUAACCGCACCUAAUGGUUUGCCAACACGUUUCACUUGCCAAGUAGAGGUUUUCAAGGCGAGUGCAGGCGCAUGGGUUCCGAUGACCGUUGGACUCGGUGGUGACCAGGCGCUCUUUGUCAGCAUGUGUUUCUCGAAGUCGGUUCCCGCAUCUUGUGGUGAUGUCGAGAAGGAUAUCAUUUAUUUUGUCAACACCGGCGAAGUGUUCAAUAUGAAGUUCAACACUUGUAGCCCGGUAAGAUGGAAAGCCAGUAUUACAUUUGAAACAUGGGUCUUUCCUUCAAAGUUGGUGGUUUAA
rnacentral:rRNA from 1 species